rnacentral:lncRNA from 1 species
GGGGGGUGUUCUUCUGCUUUAGGGCAGCGGAGUCUGUUUGUGUCGCUCGGGUGGCGCUCCCGGGGCCCCCCCUCGUCCUCGCAGCGCGGGGAAAGGGUGGUGGCUGGUCCUGUGCUCGGGUGGAUGACCAGAGGUGUCUCUGCACGCCCCAGUGGCUGCCUCUCCCGAGGGUAGCACCAGCUCGGAACUGCCUCUCUUGGUCCUAUGGGUGCAACUGCGUUCUUCCAGUGGAAUAGCUCCUGUGGCUGUGCAGGAGAGGGGAAGAAGCUCUAGAUCUGAUUUUAGUGUUUGAUGCUGAAGUUAGGAAGCGAGUGGGAGAGUAUUUUUUGCCAUGUUAUACUCAGUGGAGUCAGGCUGGCAUUGGGUGGGUGGCCCAGCACUAGUGUUGAGGUUUUGGUAUUAGCUCUGCAACACCUUUAGCUGCUUUGGGGGUGGAAGUGCAAGAAAAAGGGAGUUUUAAGCCCAGCUGGAAAUUUCUGACAAGCAAACCCAGUUGAGCAUUCCAGGCAGGAACCUAAGUGAAAAAUACUUUAUACUUUUUAUACUUUUUUUUUUUUAUGCUAAUUAUUUUUUCCAAAUUAUUACUGUAUAGUGGAAAGUGAAUAGGACAUUUCAAAAGUUAAACUUCUCAUUUACAGUGCCUUUUUGCUGGAUGCAUGUGUGUCUGGAAGAACCGACUGCUCAAUGACCUAUCACAGAUUUCAAACUCGGAUUCCUAUCAACUAAACCAGAAGACUUCAGGAGUCUUAGUAGGAUUAGCUUUGUCUGAGAAACCAUAAUGUCAUAUAUAGCUCUGCAUUCUGUUUUCUUGAAAUUAUUUUUUCUGACACUUUGGCUUAUCAGAUGUGAAGCUUUUUUUUUGGGGGGGGGUGUGGAUUGUUUGGUUUUGUUUUUUUGUUUGUUUGUUUAUUUUUCAAAAUGUUUGGAAGUGCAUGUAAAUGUAAAUGCUACAAAUACUAUUUUAAUUUAGUCUGCCGUAUAGCCAAAUACAAGGCAUCACUGUGAACUAGUCACUUUCACUGUCACACUUCUCACACUAAAUUGUGGAUACCUGAAAUUGAGGAUGCAUUUUUCUGUUUUGUUUUAGGUUUUUGGUAAUCUUUUUCUCAACAACAAUAAUAUCUGGAAGCCACUUGAGACUUCUACUUAAGGCAUUGUAAAACUAAGUAAUAUGGCUAAUGUACAAAAUAAAAUGGUUUGGGGUUGUUUUAAAUGAUGAA